UUAUACAAAGAAAUCCUUCAUGGCAGAGGUAAGCUAGGUGGGCACUCUCUUUGAGCCAACAUUUCUCAUCCUCUCAUUGUGUUGAGUGGGG